UGGGAGGGAGGAGGAGCACUUCGCGCACGCGCCUCUUGUUCUACGGUUAGAUGAACCAUUUCAACAGUCUCGCAGCUCUGCUUUUCGUUGUUUCUAAAAUAAUUGUAUUAUUGAAUUAUUAUUUUAAAAAUGUACAAAAUUAUACUUUAAAAAGUAAUAAUAUUCUUAUUAGUUACUUCGGUGGAGAUUCUUCUAUGUUGCCAAUUAUACUGAUGCUUUCGACUGGAGCUGUCAAAACAUAUAAAAAACUUACGAUGUAAGUCUUCUACGAGCCUCUGUUGUCGCGCGAGUGGGCGUCGUCGUGUGUUGUCACGCACUCGCAACGUAACACCUGCGCAUGCGCCGCUUGCGUGUAGGUCCAAUGCAAGAGACGACUGCGAACCACAUUCUGACUCUGCUGCACUUGCGCUGUAUAAAUAAUUAAACUACAUACAAAGCAAGCAGAAGGGAUAACGAUCUGAUGUUAUGAACGGCUGAUACCUGACUGCCGAAUGUGGUGGUUCAUCUACUGAUAGCGCGUAGCGACGUAGUGGCCGUCGUAGCGCCGUGACGGGUAGC